rnacentral:rRNA from 1 species
CGGUGGAGCAUGUGGUUUAAUUCGAAGCAACGCGAAGAACCUUACCAGGUCUUGACAUCCCGAUGCUAUUUCUAGAGAUAGAAGUUACUUCGGUACAUCGGUGACAGGUGGUGCAUGGUUGUCGUCAGCUCGUGUCGUGAGAUGUUGGGUUAAGUCCCGCAACGAGCGCAACCCCUAUUGUUAGUUGCCAUCAUUCAGUUGGGCACUCUAGCGAGACUGCCGGUAAUAAACCGGAGGAAGGUGGGGAUGACGUCAAAUCAUCAUGCCCCUUAUGACCUGGGCUACACACGUGCUACAAUGGUUGGUACAACGAGUUGCGAGUCGGUGACGGCGAGCUAAUCUCUUAAAGCCAAUCUCAGUUCGGAUUGUAGGCUGCAACUCGCCUACAUGAAGUCGGAAUCGCUAGUAAUCGCGGAUCAGCACGCCGCGGUGAAUACGUUCCCGGGCCUU